rnacentral:rRNA from 1 species
GUGACGAAGCGACGCCGCGUGUGGGAAGAAGGCCUUCGGGUUGUAAACCACUGUCGGGAGUUAGGAAAUGUAAGGGUGCUAAUAGUAUCCUUACUUGACUAAGGCUCCGGAGGAAGCCACGGCUAACUCUGUGCCAGCAGCCGCGGUAAUACAGAGGCAGCAAGCGUUGUUCGGAAUUAUUGGGCGUAAAGAGCACGUAGGCGGCCUUGUAAGUCAGUUGUGAAAGCCUUCUGCUUAACGGAAGAACAGCAGCUGAUACUGCAAGGCUAGAGUGCGGAAGGGGAGAGUGGAACUUCUGGUGGAGCGGUGAAAUGCGUAGAUAUCAGAAGGAACACCGGCGGCGAAGGCGACUCUCUGGUCCGUAACUGACGCUGAGUGUGCGAAAGCUAGGGGAGCAAACGGGAUUAGAUACCCCGGUAGUCCUAGCCGUAAACGAU